UUCAUUGAAAUUAGUUGUUUCGUUGUCUUUGGGAAGACGCGCCAUGUUUUAUUGUUAAAUGUUAAACAACUCAGUGGAAUGAGAUUUGUAAUUUCUUAACAUCCUUUUACGUUCGUUAAUUUAUUUUAUGGUUUUCUUCACUUCACAAAUUAGUUGGCAUUGCCAGUGGGAAUUAUUUUGUUAAACGUGGGAAUGUAUGUCAUUGUUUUUGCAUUUCGUAUUAAGUAGUCUGAAUAAGCUCGUUUACAAUGAAAUAACAAAAGACGAGAGAACUAUGUACACAGCAAGGUUGCAAAUCACAGGGUGCGUGCCUAAGAAACACAGUUGUUGCAAUAUGACCGAGCUGACUACAAAUUUGCUUGAUUUUAACGAACGAUUGUGAUAAUCGAUUGUAGAGGCAAUAAAUCAUACAGUUCUACAA